GACGAACGCUGGCGGCGUGCCUAAUACAUGCAAGUAGAACGCUGAAGGAGGAGCUUGCUUCUCUGGAUGAGUUGCGAACGGGUGAGUAACGCGUAGGUAACCUGCCUGGUAGCGGGGGAUAACUAUUGGAAACGAUAGCUAAUACCGCAUAAGAGUAGAUGUUGCAUGACAUUUGCUUAAAAGGUGCAAUUGCAUCACUACCAGAUGGACCUGCGUUGUAUUAGCUAGUUGGUGGGGUAACGGCUCACCAAGGCGACGAUACAUAGCCGACCUGAGAGGGUGAUCGGCCACACUGGGACUGAGACACGGCCCAGACUCCUACGGGAGGCAGCAGUAGGGAAUCUUCGGCAAUGGACGGAAGUCUGACCGAGCAACGCCGCGUGAGUGAAGAAGGGUUUCGGAUCGUAAAGCUCUGUUGUAAGAGAAGAACGAGUGUGAGAGUGGAAAGUUCACACUGUGACGGUAUCUUACCAAAAAGGGACGGCUAACUACGUG
rnacentral:rRNA from 1 species